GAUGAACGCUGGCGGCGUGCCUAAUACAUGCAAGUCGAGCGAACAGAUAAGGAGCUUGCUCCUUUGACGUUAGCGGCGGACGGGUGAGUAACACGUGGGUAACCUACCUAUAAGACUGGAAUAACUCCGGGAAACCGGGGCUAAUGCCGGAUAACAUUUAGAACCGCAUGGUUCUAAAGUGAAAGAUGGUUUUGCUAUCACUUAUAGAUGGACCCGCGCCGUAUUAGCUAGUUGGUAAGGUAACGGCUUACCAAGGCAACGAUACGUAGCCGACCUGAGAGGGUGAUCGGCUACACUGGAACUGAGACACGGUCCAGACUCCUACGGGAGGCAGCAGUAGGGAAUCUUCCGCAAUGGGCGAAAGCCUGACGGAGCAACGCCGCGUGAGUGAUGAAGGUCUUCGGAUCGCAAAACUCUGUUAUUAGGGAAGAACAAAUGUGUAAGUAACUGUGCACGUCUUGACGGUACCUAAUCAGAAAGCCACGGCUAACUACGUG
rnacentral:rRNA from 1 species